AGCAAAUCGAUUCUAGGUAAGAAAAAUUUCAAUCUAAAAUUAUGGCAUAUGUACAAGAAAGCUUCAUAAAAAAAAAAAAAAUUGUAAUAUUGCUAUAUCACUUGAAAGUAUCAAAUUUCAUUCUAUAUUUAUCUUCACAAUGGAGGUGUGGCUCCAAAUUUUGAAACCUUAGGAUCAGGUGGAACAUGGAAGUAUCACUGGAAGGCUUAAAUAAUUCCCUCCGGCCAAACAACAUAAUUUACAGCAAUUCCACUGGUCCAGAGUCCGAACUAGACCUUGUCUCGUUUUAGCUAGAAGGGCGAUCAUUCUCUAAUAUGUAUGUUUUGUAGCCAGCCGGACUAGAGAGCUUACCUGAACCGCAACUGCUUACUCUCUCAAUAUCGUCCAUCUCGGCUGCCAGAGGAAUUGGCCUUUCUGGGAUAGUGGGAAUUGACUGGUCUGUUUCCAACAUUUUUACUGCCUGAUCCAUUGUUGGCCUGGCAUGUAACUGUGGAUGAGAACAAAGAACUGCAAUUAAUACAUACUUCUCCAAAAUAUCCUGAGGGCCUAACUCUGGCAUACCAUCUUCAAUAACAUCUAAAGCUCUCCCUUUCUUCACCAAUGACCAUGCCCAAUCAGUCACCAGAUCUGGUUGGCUCUCAUGAUCACUUACAACGAGUGCCUUCUUUCCACUCAAAAGCUCAAGAAGCACAACACCAAAGCUAUACACAUCGCUUCUCUCUGUCAAUUGCCCAUACAGAGCAUACUCAGGAGCAACAUAUCCCAUAGUUCCAGCCACCCGAGUGCUUAAAUGUGUUGCACCCUCUGGGGUAAACUUUGCCAGCCCGAAAUCCGCCACCUUGGCCUCGAAUCUUUCAUCCAAAAGUAUAUUACCGGCUUUAAUAUCCCUGUGAAUGAUUCCUGGUUGAGCUCCAUGAUGCAAGUAAGCCAAUCCUCUGGCGGUCCCCAGUGCAAUCUUUUGCCUAAUAGGCCAACUGAGCUUUUCCCUCCGAGAUCCAAACAGGUGGUCAUGUAAACUCCCAUUCUUAAUCAAAUCACACACAAUUAUCCUCUGAUGACCCUCAAAUGGAGUAGUGGCAGUACAGUAGCCUCUCAAUGCAACAAGAUUCACAUGUCUCACGCUGGCAAUAACCUCGAGUUCAUGUAUGAAACUAGCAUCACCAGCGACUGACAAAUUCUUGAACCUUUUCAUAGCAACUUGAGACCCAUCUGGCAAUUCACCUUUAUACACAUUUCCAUAGCCUCCUCUUCCGAUAAUGUUAUCUCUAGAAAAAUUCCUAGUUGCCUUUUUUAUCUCAUCAAAUUUGUACUCAACCAGAGUAGUACUUCCACUGAUGGACUCCAAUCCACGACUCAAAUUCAUAUCAACUCCCCCAGCAAUUCUAUCUCUUUUCUUUUUCCUACUCAAAGCCUCAUAUCUUCGCCUCAAAAACCAACAGCAGCCAAUUACUAUCAACAAUCCAACACCCAAAAUAGAAAUGAGCAAAAUCAAAAGUUUCUUCUUUUUGCGAUCCGAUUUCUUUGGAACGAAAUCAAGCAAAAACAAACACUUAACUGUGCCUCUAUCGGUGGGACCAUACCUAUUAGCGAACGCUGCCGCAUAAAUGAACGGAUACGCUUGACAAUCCGACAAGUUCCCGACGGACUUCCCCGUCAAGUACGAGGCCUGUUGCCUGGACAAGCUGGUGGUGCAAGCGGCACAGGGGGAAUUAUUCUCAAGCGGCUGGUUACAAUUGGAAAUGACGUCACUCAGUGAGGAGUUGGAAACCAAGGCCUCGAAUUGGGAUCUGGUAGUGAUGUUCAUGCAGCCUUCAGAAAUCCAACUGGUGUUGAAGCCGCAAGAGGAUCGAACAUCAAAGUUGGGUAGGAAAUCGUCGAAGAAAUCCUGGUAAGCUUGCCAGCACGACUCGGCCAAGUCGAGCGGGGGGACGAAGGAAUUACUGCGCUGGAGGAAAUAGGACUGGACGAGUCGCAAGCCUUGCUUGACGUACUGGCAUUCCUGGGAGGGCGAAAUACUGGUGGAUUGGGAGUCGGCGAUAAGCUUGCGGAGGAUGCCGAAGUCGAGGGGGCAUGAGGCGGUGCCGUUUUGGGCGAGGGUCGGGGUGAAGGAGAGAGCUAGAAAUGUGAAGAAAAGGUGACGGUAGUAGCGGAAGAGGGACAUGGGGAAAGCUCGGGAUUGCGGGUUCAUCGAAUCAUGAAGUAAAGAGAUGAGAACAGAGAUGAAAAGGCAUAAUUUGAUUAGAAAUGAAGCAGCUGGUGUUUUUCUAUAUUCUAUUUAUGGCGGCGUCCCGCCCGGUUGAGAAGUUGACAGUUGAGAGAGGCAGAUUCCAGGAAGUUAACCGGUAAUUUGCUUUUUUCUCCCCUCUUAAUUAGUAACAGUGAAGCCCCGUUUGGAAGGUUAAUUAGUAACAGUGAACAUCUCCAGUAUAGUUCAAGAUACUAAGGAGUUUAGUGCAGGUGUGAACGGAUCACUUUUAGGUUGUGUUUGGAUUGAAGGA
rnacentral:misc_RNA from 1 species